rnacentral:tRNA from 1 species
GCUUCGCUGGAGUAGUGGUUAACUCGUCUGCUUCCCAAAUUGGCCUUGUUCUACACGAGGUUUGAUUCCACAAGCAGGAUACAAGGGUUCGAACCCCUUGCGUAGCA